GAUGAACGCUAGCGGCAGGCCUAACACAUGCAAGUCGGGGGAGAAGCCCUUUCGGGGGCAGAAACCGGCGCACGGGUGCGUAACGCGUAUGCAACCUACCUUUCACAGGGGGAUAGCCCGAAGAAAUUUGGAUUAAUACCCCAUAAUAUUAUUGGAUGGCAUCAUUUGAUAAUUAAAACUGCGGUGGUGAAAGAUGGGCAUGCGUCCUAUUAGCUAGUUGGAGUGGUAACGGCACCCCAAGGCUACGAUAGGUAGGGGUCCUGAGAGGGAGAUCCCCCACACUGGUACUGAGACAGGGACCAGACUCCUACGGGAGGCAGCAGUGAGGAAUAUUGGUCAAUGGUCGGAAGACUGAACCAGCCAUGCCGCGUGCAGGAAGAAUGCCUUAUGGGUUGUAAACUGCUUUUAUAUGGGAAGAAUAAGGCGUACGUGUACGUUGAUGACGGUACCAUAUGAAUAAGCAUCGGCUAACUCCGUG
rnacentral:rRNA from 1 species